UUUAUACUGAGUAGAUGUUACGUAUCAGCUAGAGUUUUAUAUAUCGUAGAAUCUCCCUCCAUGAUUGGGAAAUGCUCGAGUGGGGUUUAAGCAUUCACAUGGUAAUACAUGUCGUAGAAUAUAAGUGUAUAGGUUAAUUGUGCAAGUCGUCAAAGAAAUCGUAGAAUAAAAUAACAAACCGAUAAGAAAUGUUAUAUUGUUAAUUUUGCUAAUACAUAUUUCAACAAAACGAGAGCUUUGCGCAUAAUUAAGGAGGGUGAAUGGUAAAAACGGAAAAAAUAGUUUACAAGAAGCGAUCAGUGAAAAAUGACCGAUCAUGUAUCUUGGUUGAUCGUUCUUGAAGCUUGUCUUGUCAAUAAAGUGCAAUAGAAGACGAGUGUAUUUCAUGUAUUCCAAUGUAAGGAACGUGCGUGUAAUUUCAUUCUGUGCGUGCGCAAUGA